AUUGCCUGAUUGACUGUUGGAUAUCACCUCUGCCUCAUAUUAGUAUAUGUCCCUGGGCAAAUUCCUCUACUUCAUAGUGCUCCUAAGCAAUGCUUCUGAAAUAUAAGUUGAAGAACAAUUUCUAAUCAGCACUGGAAGAAAGAACUUUCUUGCUAGGUAGCCCUAUACAUUAAUAAAACCACAUAUCUGAUAUCUGAUGGUGACAAUAAUGAUAAUGAAUACAGGAUGUUAGUACCUAGAGUCUGAAGGGAAAUUAAGGGGAAAAAAUUCUUAUCAAAUAUAUGCUAUUAUAUAAAAUAUUCUAAAAACAGAAAGCUUUUUCAUAAAGGAGUGAGCCAUCUAUGCAUUUAAAGUUUUUAAGCAGCAGCUGAAUGAUUGCUGGUCAUAGGUUAUAUAGAGAUCUUUGCACUGGGUGGGAGGAUUGGACUAGAUGUACUUUGAGGUUCCUUCGAUUCAGAUUCUAUAAUUAUAACCUACUCAAGUAAUUGCUAAAAGAAAUCCAAAAUACUUCACUCUAUUACUAAAUGUGUGAAGACUUUUAGAUAAAUUAUUUCAUUUUAUUUCUAGGCAAAUAUAAUUGCUUUUUGAAGUUAAUUUUCUUUUAGGGGACUAAAACUUUUUGUUUAUAUCUCCCUUUAUAUAUAACAAUGCUCACUGUUGGAAACCCUAGGACCAUCAUGGCAAUCCUAUGACACAUGUGCCAGAAAGGGCAUGCAGAGACCUCUUUGUGGGCUUACCUGCCAUCAUCCACUAGAGUUCAUUACUAGAAAAGCAGAGGGACAAGGGCUGAGCUGCUUCUUUCCUCCUCUCCACUGGGCCUGAAGUUUGGAUAUCAUGAUUCCCUCUCCCAACAUAAAUGCUUAUUGGAUUAUUUAUGAGUAUGCUCAUGCGAAUGGAGUGGUGAAUGGAAUUGAAGAUGGAUUAAUUAUUAAAGGUCAUCAUCAUUUUGAUAUGCAUUCUAAUCCAAACAUUGCAAAAUACUACUAUUCUGAGACAGGUAAAAGGUAUGUCUCUGUCACAAUGUAAAGAAGUAU
rnacentral:lncRNA from 1 species